CGUAGAUGCAAAUAUGAACAAGUUAGUGUUAACCUUCCUCGUCUUUAUGGUAAUAGUGAGCGCAGUACUUGCAGACCACAGGUCGUCGACGCUGAAGCUCGAUGGAGCACCCGUUGUAGAUGUUGACCUAACAAAAAAUAAUGAACUUCUAAACACACCCACUUCUAACUUGAUACAAAAGAGAAGGCAACCGUCUAUGAUGAGGCUUGUUCCUUGCAUGGACUGGAUACGCAAGAGAUGGAGGUACUGUUGGGUCAGUAAGUCAGGCUAGGGUGAUUUAAGAAAGGUUACUGCAUCACAGACGAGACCUACUCUAAAAUGCUGCUGUUCCAGGGGAUCAACACAGCCAAAGCCGCCCAGGCUACUACUCAAAAUGGUCCGAAGUAGGAAAGAACACGUUUCUCCAUUGAGUGGAACAUUUUUCCUACUUACUCUCACAGUGAUUUAUUAAAGAACAUUUACAAAAAGUGACAAAGAUCUUUAACUUCUAUGGAUAUUAUAAGAUUAUAACGACAACCCCACAACAUUACAUUAUGUAUUUAAUAUUUAAAUGUCAAAAGAUAUUUUUCAAUAAUGAUGUUUAAUGAUACGUUUUAAAAUCUCUUAUUAUUUCAAAACAUAUUUGGGAAAUGAUUAGUGAAAAUGCGUCAUACAAAUAGGAAAUACAUCGUUUUUACCGAUCUAUAUUUAAGGAAUUUUUCUCCGCCACUGAUAACAACUCCAAUAAUUACAGUUACAUUAUUAUCCAGAAAUAGUAAUGUAUGUCUUUACACAUUUUGUCAUUCAUCAUCGGAACAAUAUUUCAGACCGAUAAUGAAAUAUAAGGCCUACAUUGAUUUUAUUCUAACUUUGAUUAUGGUAAUAACGUGUGCUGUACGUUUGAGACAUCCUGUUUCUUGGAUAGCAAUCAGUAAAUAAAUGAUAUUACAGCACAACAACCUAAGACGUUAUUUAUCGAUAUAUUUUGCCCGUGAUUAAAGCCUACACUGAUGAGAA